CGCGUAGGUGGUUUGUUAAGUCAGCUGUGAAAGCCCCGGGCUCAACCUGGGAGCUGCAGUUGAUACUGGCAGGCUAGAGUACGAGAGAGGGAGGUAGAAUUCCAUGUGUAGCGGUGAAAUGCGUAGAUAUAUGGAGGAAUACCAGUGGCGAAGGCGGCCUCCUGGCUCGAUACUGACACUGAGGUGCGAAAGCGUGGGUAGCAAACAGGAUUAGAUACCCUUGUAGUCC
rnacentral:rRNA from 1 species